GACGAACCACACAAACGUUAUUCGGAAUUACUGGGCUUAAAGGGUGCGUAGGCUGUGCGGAAAGUUAGGUGUGAAAUCCCCCGGCUCAACCGGGGAAUUGCGCUUAAAACUACCGUGCUAGAGAAAGACAGAGGUGAGCGGAACUUCGGGUGGAGCGGUGAAAUGCGUUGAUAUCCGAAGGAACACCGGUGGCGAAAGCGGCUCACUGGGUCUUUUCUGACGCUGAUGCACGAAAGCUAGGGGAGCAAACGGG
rnacentral:rRNA from 1 species